CGGGCCAGAUAAUAGAAUCCUCUCAUUGUUUUGACUGAACUGGAGAUCGAGGGUGUGUGUUUAACUUGGUCAAAACAAGCAGGCUACUACAAGAAUCACUGCAACAAAACAAGGAACAUAUGUUCUGUAGGACUGGCAUCACAAAGUACGGUCAUCCUGCUAUUGACACAGAAUGUGACAACAACAGUAAUUGACGAGGCAGUGUAAACCGGGCUGGUGAGUGCAGGACCUGAGCCCUAGGACCAUGCCCCAGGACCACCUGACAUGAUGACUCCUUGCUGUCCCCAGUCCACCUGGCCAUGCUGCUGUUCCAGUUUCAACUGACCUGAGCCCUAGGACCAUGCCCCAGGACUACCUGACAUGAUGACUCCUUGCUGUCCCCAGUCCACCUGGCCAUGCUGCUGUUCCAGUUUCAACUUCCACCUGACUGUGCUGCUGCUCCAGUUUCAACUGUUCUGCCUUAUUAUUAUUCGACCAUGCUGGUCAUUUAUGAACAUCUGAACAUCUUGGCCAUGUUCUGUUAUAAUCUCCACCCGGCACAGCCAGAAGAGGACUGGCCACCCCACAUAGCCUGGUUCCUCUCUAGGUUUCUUCCUAGGUUUUGGCCUUUCUAGGGAGUUUUUCCUAGCCACCGUGCUUCUACACCUGCAUUGCUUGCUGUUUGGGGUUUUAGGCUGGGUUUCUGUACAGCACUUUGAGAUAUCAGCUGAUGUACGAAGGGCUAUAUAAAUAAAUUUGAUUUGAUUUGUGACGCAAUACCAAGCCCUUUAUAGAGAAUAUUUCCAGAUUCUUGAUAUCCUUUGGUCUGUGUUUAUGGACCACAGGUUUUCAAUGGGGUUCAAGUCCAGAGACAAAAUGUAGAUUUUUUGGGUAAAUUAAUUAUUUUGAUGUGUGUUUGAGGUCAUUGUCUUUUUGGAACAUCCAGUUUCAGACUCCUGGCAGAGGCAACCAGGUUUUUGUCUAAAAUGUCCUUGUACUUGGUAGAGUUCAUGGUGCUGUUGACCUCAACCUCUCUAGGGGGUGUGGAACGCUACCGUCCCACCUGGCCAACAUCCCGCGAAAUUGCAGAGCUCCAAAUUCAAUAACAGAAAUACUCAUUAUAAAAAUUCAUGAAACAUACAAGUGUUGUACAUCGGUUUAAAGAUGGACUUCUUGUUAAUCCAACCACGGUGUCAGAUUUCAAAAAUACUUUACGGCUAAAGCAAACCAUGCGAUAAUCUCAGAACAGCGCCCAUAUGAUUGCACUCCGAAGACUCCAUGUUGCACAAUAAAUGUUAAUUUUGUCCGAUAAUGUCUCUCUUUAUAUUCAAAAACCUCAGUUUUGUUUGUGCGUUUUGUUCAGUAACGAAGCAUGCAGACGACAAAUCCAAAAAGUACCAUAAAAGUUCGUAGAAACAUGUCAAAUGAUGUUUAUAAACAAUUCUCAGGUUGUUUUUGUCAUAAAUAAUCGAUCAUAUUUCAACCGAACAAUAGCUUCCUCAAUAGAAAAGGAGAAACAAGAAAGGUACACUCCCGGUCAUGCGCUGGACUCAUGUCUGGAAAUUUCCACUGUCCACUCAUUGAAAGUGCCUUUUCUCCCUCAUUUUUCAGAGUAAAAGCCUGAAACAAUGCCUAAAGACUGGCCACAUGCUGUGAAAGCCAUAGGGUCUUGAACUGUUCCAUAAGUCUUUGUAUGGUGGAUAGGCUUUCAAUGGAAAAACAGGCUUUUCAAAAUAAAGGCACUUCCUGGAUGGAUUUUCCUCCGGUUUUCGCCUGCCAUAUUCAUUAUUUUAACAGUUUUGGAAACUUUAGAGUGUUUUCUAUCCAAAUCUACCAAUGAUAUUGUUGGUUGCUCUCAUCAAUGGCUAUUUUCUGGAAACCCUUCCAAAGAGCCUAAUGCCAUGGAUGUGGCGUCUAAUUGUAGAUUUGGCGACUUGGUGACUCCACGAUGCGAUCAAGUUCUGUAAUUCUCCACCUGUGGCCCUUCGAUUUUCCUUUGCCUCCCGAACCUUCUUUUUCAAUGUGUGUGGGGACAAGGUACACUUGCAUCCUUUACCAGCAAGUGAACCACUGUUUCAGUGGUUUUAAACAUUUUAAUUCUUGCCCUAAUAGUGGUAAGUCAUAUAUUUAUUUAUUUAGGUAUUAUUUUGUGCCCAUUGCCUGAUUUAUGAAGGUCAACAACCAUUUUUCUCAUUUCAUUUGUGAGUUAUUUGCUUUUCCCCAUGGUGAUAGAUGACAAAUUCAUUUUACACCUGUGUUACCUCAUUUUUAUACCCCAGUGAAACAAAAAGCCAUGGAAGGCCACAAUACAUUUCCUUAAGCUGAGAUGAACAUACCAAAAAAAAGUACAUUGUUGAUGCAGAUUCAAUAACUGUUAUUUAAAGAAUCAUUAGUGGGGCCAGUUAUUUUGACACCUAUUUAUAUAUAUUUUUUUUUAUUAUCAUACCAUAUAGCUCAGUAUUUGUAUUACUUAUAUACUUUUAUUUUUAUUUUUACUUUUUGCUCAUCUUUAUGGAAAGAUGUAGGCAAUGGGGACUGUCUAUUUUUAUCUAUUUUUUUACAAUAUUGCGGACAUGCAGAGAAUUAAAUUGGAUUACUUCAACGUAACUUUAGAUCACUCCCGAAUCAUCCUCUUCAACAGUGUUCCAUUAUAGAGCUUUCCUUUGGUGUGGAUUUAGGCCUAUACAUUCAUAUCAGUUGUGUUCUUCCAUUGUAUUCACGUUUCCUUAUUUCUAUUGUGGAUUGUGUUUCUGUGCCCCAAUGGAAAGUCUACAAAACUAUGAGCAAACCAACCUUUGUAUUGAAUGCUUGGAAUUGGAUUGUGAUGAUACAGAUGAAUUAAUCCUGCACACAAUGUGCUUAUUUUUCAUUACUUUUUUUCUCAGGAAAAGUUUUUUCUUUGUGUAUGAAAUUGUUUGGGGAAAUAUGCAUAAAUGGAGAGGACUUGCCCAUAAUUCUGCACCUUUGCAUAGUUAUACUUACAAUUUUGAUCAUCAUGAUUUAGUGACUGGAAUAAAAAUGUAUUGAUCUGCA